rnacentral:rRNA from 1 species
AUGCCUGGUUCCAACAAAAACUUCGCCACACCAAAAAUUGCCGCCUCGUCGCAGCACCGGGCUCAGCCGGUUCCAGCAUCCUCCACCACGGUUCCAUCAUUUUGCCACUGUGGUUGCAGCACCCGUCGGCGUGGUCACCAUGCAGCACCCGUCGGCGUGGUCACCAUGCCCAUGGUGGGCAGCGCCAUGCUCGACCGGUUGCAGCAUCGCUGGACGCCGUCUCCAGCACCAAUGGACGCCCCCGUCUCCAGCACCCGCUCCGCCACGCCGCCCCAAGGCCGCCGCCGCGCAGUGGUUAGCAGCGCCGCCCCCCGUCAAAGCCAUGAGGAUGGAGAAGGUGUAGGCCAUGUCCUCCCCCUGCCUUCGUGA